AGGCGGUUAGCAUAACUGGAUAAUGCUUCGGAUUUCUACUCCGUUCUAUGGGGAUUCGAGUUCCUCACCGUCUACCA
rnacentral:tRNA from 1 species